UACGUAGGGGGGCAAGCGUUGUCCGGAUUUAUUGGGCGUAAAGAGCGUGUAGGCGGCCAGACAGGUCCGUUGUGAAAACUCGAGGCUCAACCUCGAGAUGUCGAUGGAAACCGUCUGGCUAGAGUCCGGAAGAGGAGUGUGGAAUUCCUGGUGUAGCGGUGAAAUGCGCAGAUAUCAGGAAGAACACCCGUGGCGAAGGCGGCUCUCUGGGACGGUACUGACGCUGAGACGCGAAAGCGUGGGGAGCGAACAGG
rnacentral:rRNA from 1 species